rnacentral:piRNA from 1 species
UAAUGGUAAUAGGAUGGUGUAGUGUACA